rnacentral:rRNA from 1 species
UGAAGCUGGAUUCGCUGUAAUCGCGCAUCAGCCAUGGCGCGGUGAAUACGUUCCCGGGCCUUGUACACACCGCCCGUCAGGCCAUGGAAGCCGGGGGUGCCUGAAGUGUGCAGCCGCAAGGAGCGCCCUAAGGUAAAACCGGUGACUGGGGCUAAGUCGUAACAAGGUAGC